AGCGAACGCUGGCGGCAGGCUUAACACAUGCGAGUCGAACGGGCUUCUUCGGAAGUCAGUGGCGGACGGGUGAGUAACACGUGGGAACGUGCCCUUCGGUUCGGAAUAACUCAGGGAAACUUGAGCUAAUACCGGAUACGCCCUUUUGGGGAAAGGUUUACUGCCGAAGGAUCGGCCCGCGUCUGAUUAGCUUGUUGGUGGGGUAACGGCCUACCAAGGCGACGAUCAGUAGCUGGUCUGAGAGGAUGAUCAGCCACACUGGGACUGAGACACGGCCCAGACUCCUACGGGAGGCAGCAGUGGAGAAUAUUGGACAAUGGGCGCAAGCCUGAUCCAGCCAUGCCGCGUGAGUGAUGAAGGCCUUAGGGUUGUAAAGCUCUUUUGUCCGGGACGAUAAUGACGGUACCGGAAGAAUAAGCCCCGGCUAACUUCGUG
rnacentral:rRNA from 1 species